GACGAACGCUGGCGGCGUGCCUAAUACAUGCAAGUUGAGCGCUGAAGGUUGGUACUUGUACCAACUGGAUGAGCAGCGAACGGGUGAGUAACGCGUGGGGAAUCUGCCUUCGAGCGGGGGACAACAUUUGGAAACGAAUGCUAAUACCGCAUAAAAACUUUAAACACAAGUUUUAAGUUUGAAAGAUGCAAUUGCAUCACUCAAAGAUGAUCCCGCGUUGUAUUAGCUAGUUGGUGAGGUAAAGGCUCACCAAGGCGAUGAUACAUAGCCGACCUGAGAGGGUGAUCGGCCACAUUGGGACUGAGACACGGCCCAAACGCCUACGGGAGGCAGCAGUAGGGAAUCUUCGGCAAUGGACGAAAGUCUGACCGAGCAACGCCGCGUGAGUGAAGAAGGUUUUCGGAUCGUAAAACUCUGUUGGUAGAGAAGAACGUUGGUGAGAGUGGAAAGCUCAUCAAGUGACGGUAACUACCCAGAAAGGGACGGCUAACUACGUG
rnacentral:rRNA from 1 species